CCUACGGGUGGCAGCAGUGGGGAAUAUUGGGCAAUGGGCGCAAGCCUGACCCAGCAACGCCGCGUGAAGGAAGAAGGCUUUCGGGUUGUACACUUCUUGUGUCAGGGACGAGUAGAAGACGGUACCUGACGAAUAAGCCACGGCUAACUACGUGACAGCAGCCGCGGUAAUACGUAGGUGGCAAGCGUGGUCCGGAUUUACUGGGUGUAAAGGGUGUGUAGCCGGGUUGACAAGUCAGAUGUGAAAUCCUGCGGCUUAACCGCAGAACUGCAUUUGAAACUGUUGAUCUUGAGUACUGGAGAGGCAGACGGAAUUCCUAGUGUAGCGGUGAAAUGCGUAGAUAUUAGGAGGAACACCAGUGGCGAAGGCGGUCUGCUGGACAGCAACUGACGGUGAGGCGCGAAAGCGUGGGGAGCAAACAGGAUUAGAUACCCGAGUAGUC
rnacentral:rRNA from 1 species